AGCGAACGCUGGCGGCAGGCUUAACACAUGCAAGUCGAACGCCCCGCAAGGGGAGUGGCAGACGGGUGAGUAACACGUGGGAACGUACCCUUUGGUUCGGAAUAACUUGGGGAAACUCAAGCUAAUACCGGAUAAGCCCUUAUGGGGAAAGGUUUACUGCCGAAGGAUCGGCCCGCGUCUGAUUAGCUAGUUGGUGAGGUAAUGGCUCACCAAGGCGACGAUCAGUAGCUGGUCUGAGAGGAUGAUCAGCCACACUGGGACUGGGACACGGCCCAGACUCAUACGGGAGGCAGCAGUGGGGAAUAUUGGACAAUGGGGGCAACCCUGAUCCAGCCAUGCCGCGUGAGUGAUGAAGGCCUUAGGGUUGUAAAGCUCUUUUACCCGGGACGAUAAUGACUGUACCGGGAGAAUAAGCCCCGGCUAACUUCGUGCCAGCCGCCGCAGUAA
rnacentral:rRNA from 1 species